GAUUAAGGUCUCCGUAGGUGAACCUGCGGAAGGAUCAUUACCGAGUGAGGGCCCUCUGGGUCCAACCUCCCACCCGUGUUUAUUUUACCUUGUUGCUUCGGCGGGCCCGCCUUAACUGGCCGCCGGGGGGCUUACGUCCCCGGGCCCGCGCCCGCCGAAGACACCCUCGAACUCUGUCUGAAGAUUGUAGUCUGAGUGAAAAUAUAAAUUAUUUAAAACUUUCAACAACGGAUCUCUUGGUUCCGGCAUCGAUGAAGAACGCAGCGAAAUGCGAUACGUAAUGUGAAUUGCAAAUUCAGUGAAUCAUCGAGUCUUUGAACGCACAUUGCGCCCCCUGGUAUUCCGGGGGGCAUGCCUGUCCGAGCGUCAUUGCUGCCCUCAAGCACGGCUUGUGUGUUGGGCCCCGUCCUCCGAUCCCGGGGGACGGGCCCGAAAGGCAGCGGCGGCACCGCGUCCGGUCCUCGAGCGUAUGGGGCUUUGUCACCCGCUCUGUAGGCCCGGCCGGCGCUUGCCGAUCAACCCAAAUUUUUAUCCAGGUUGACCUCGGAUCAGGUAGGGAUACAAUC
rnacentral:rRNA from 1 species